GUGCCGCUGCAAUAUGUGCUA
rnacentral:siRNA from 1 species